rnacentral:rRNA from 1 species
UUGCACCUAGUGGCGAACGGGUGAGUAACACGUAUCUAACCUACCUUUUAGUGGGGGAUAACAGUUGGAAACGACUGCUAAUACCGCAUACGACACCAUUAUGGCAUCAGAAGGUGUUAAAAGGCCCGUUUGGGUCGCUAGAAGAUGGGGAUGCGGCGUAUUAGCUAGUAGGUGGGGUAAUUGCCCACCUAGGCAAUGAUACGUAGCCGAACUGAGAGGUUGAUCGGCCACAUUGGGACUGAGAUACGGCCCAGACUCCUACGGGAGGCAGCAGUAGGGAAUUUUUCACAAUGGACGAAAGUCUGAUGAAGCAAUGCCGCGUGAGUGAUGACGGUCUUCGGAUUGUAAAGCUCUGUUGUAAGGGAAGAAUAGGUAAAAGAGGAAAUGCUUUCAUUUUGACGGUACCUUACCAGAAAGCCACGGCUAACUAUGUGCCAGCAGCCGCGGUAAUACAUAGGUGGCAAGCGUUAUCCGGAUUUAUUGGGCGUACAGGGUGCGUAGGCGGUUCGAUAAAUUUGAGGUUAAAUCCCCGGGGCUCACCCCC